GUUUAGAAAGCAAAUGUGUUUAUUAUAAGAGAUGCAGACAAAUCAGAAAGUAAAAAGGGAAUAUGCACCACUGUUAACGUAUUUACCAUCGUUUAGGACAUUUUAACAUUUAUUCCCACAUAUCGAUACAUAGAUUUGUUUAUAUACAAAGAGACAAGUCAGGGAGAGAGAAAAAGAGAGCUUCAUAAAUACCCCUCCUUUUUUUCGUCUGUUUAGGGCUGCACCUGCAGCAUACGGAGGUUCCCAUGCUAGGGGUCGAAUCGGAGCUACAGCUUGGCCUACACCACAGCCACAGCAACUCCAGAUCUGAGCCUCGUCUUUGACCUACACCACAGCUCACAGCAGUGCCGGAUCCUUAACCCAAUGAGUGAGGCCAGGGAUCGAACCCAUAUCCUCAUGGAUACUAGUUAUAUUCAUUACCUCUGCCACCAUGGGAACUCCCAUAAAUACACUUUUUAAGAACAAAAAAUGAUUAUGCCUUAGAGGCCUUUUCAUUGGAUUGGUAAUCUGUUAUUGGCAUUGCUGUGGACUGAACCCCCCCCCUUUCGUAUGUUGAAAUCCUACCCCCUCCAUGUUACUGUUUGUGUAGAUAGGGCCUUUAAUGAGGUAAUUAAUGUUAAAUGAGGUCGUAAGGGUGGCUGCUCCAGUAGGGCUGGUGUCCUUAUGAAAAGAGGAAGAGGCAGUAUAUUGUUAUGGUAGCCCCAGUGAACUAAUCCAGAUAUUCUGGGACUUUAACUAGACUUCUCCAUGUUCUAAUGGUGAAUAAUAUUCCAUUCUGUGGCCAUGCAAUUACUAAUUUAAACAAUCAUGAACAUUUAUGUUGUGCCUGAAGGUUUCUGUUAUAAGCAAGGUUACAAGGAGCACCCUUGCACAUAAACUGUGCACACACAUCAAAUCCAUUUUUAGGAUAAUGUACAAGAAUGGAAUUGCAGGGUCAGAAAACGUGCUUGUGCUGAAUCGUGACACAGGAGCCGAACCGGCUUCCCAAGAGGCAGGGCCCGCUGGCAUUCCCAGGCCCAGGACUUGAGAGCCAGUGUUCCCACCGCCCCCCGCCCCCCCAAAACUGGACAUGUUCCGCCCUUAACCUGCUCCGCAUGCCUAGGCCCAAAUGAUCAUUGAAUUUCAUAACAGAAGUUGAAUAUCUUGAUAUACGAUUAUUGAAAUUUCUAUUUCUCCUUUUUAAUGAACCUCUGUGCAUCCUUUCUCCAUUUUUUCCAAGAGGCUUUGUUUCCCUUACUGUUUAAAAUUCCUGUUACCACGUGAUAGUCCUUGCUCUGUUAUAAGUUACAAUCUCUUUUCUGAUUUGCCAUUUUCCUUUUCAUUUCGUCUUGCUUAGCUGUUGGCUUGUUUAUUGCCAUACAGAAUUCUUUUUUUUUUUAAUUUUAAUUUUUAUUUUUUUAACAGAAUAAAAUACAUUUAAACACAAUUACAUUCACACAGAUUAUUAUAUCAUGGAUCUUAAACAGAUUAAGUGACUCCCUCUGGAGAAGUGGAAUGGAAAAUAUGCUGAGACAAAUAGGAAAUUUAUUCUAUACUUUAUCCCAUUUUGUAUGGCUUUCAUCCUUACUAUUUAGUAUUAUCUAUUACAUUUCAGUUUUUCUUUAACAAUUAGCAUCAUAUUAAAAUUGUUAUAUUAUGCAACUAAAAUUUAUAAAGAAGAAAGCCUUAUAUACCAUUAAAUAUUUUAUAUAGCAUAAUAAAAAGAAUAACUGGUAAGAAUAACAAAAAUAAUAUACCCUCUGAAAAUAAGUAAAAUAUAAAAUGCAUAAAUUGGUUAAAAAACAGUGUAACUAUAUAAAUAUGUCCUCACAAUUUGUUACAUCUUAUUGAUUCUUCAAUAUAGGCAUUACACCAUUCUAGGUGAUGUGAUAAACAAGACAUUAUAGACCUUACAUUGUACCAUGGAGAGAAAUGGUUAUUAAUAAUACAAUUGUAGAACUGUAUUAUUUAAUUGUAGAGUUGCAUUAUUUAAUUAUAAUUAUCAUAAACUCUUUGAUGCAGAGGAAAUCAGAAUCAGAUCUAAGAAGACUUCAGCAUUCCAAGAAUGAUGUCAAAUGACCCCCUUCAUGGUGGAUUAUGCACUUAUUUACUAUGAGAUAUGUUUCUUCUUCAGAGAUUCCUUGUUUGUGUAUCAAUUGUAGAUUUUUGGUUUGCAGUUAUUCUGAAGUUUUGAUAUAAGAGUCUAUAUGUAUAUGAGAUUGUUUUAAGUUGUUGUUCUCUUAAUUGCAAGUUCAUCUCCACUGUCCUG
rnacentral:lncRNA from 1 species